UAACCCAGGCCACUUGGACUCCAAAGUUA
rnacentral:piRNA from 1 species